UCACUAUUAUACUAAUGCUAGGUCACAGACAGCCUAGUGGGACAGAGUCACUAUUAUACUAAUGCUAGGUCACAGACAGCCUAGUGGGACAGAGUCACUAUUAUACUAAUGCUAGGUCACAGACAGCCUAGUGGGACAGAGUCACUAUUAUACUAAUGCUAGGUCACAGACAGCCUAGUGGGACAGAGUCACUAUUAUACUAAUGCUAGGUCACAGACAGCCUAGUGGGACAGAGUCACUAUUAUACUAAUGCUAGGUCACAGACAGCCUAGUGGGACAGAGUCACUAUUAUACUAAUGCUAGGUCACAGACAGCCUAGUGGGACAGAGUCACUAUUAUACUAAUGCUAGGUCACAGACAGCCUAGUGGGACAGAAUCACUACUACCACCAACAACAACGUCAGAUCAGAACACUCAGGAUAAGACAGUGGGUUGGAGAAUGAGAAG